rnacentral:rRNA from 1 species
UAGGGAAUCUUCCGCAAUGGACGCAAGUCUGACGGAGCAACGCCGCGUGAGUGAAGAAGGUUUUCGGAUCGUAAAACUCUGUUGUAAGAGAAGAACAAAUUGUAGAGUAACUGCUACAGUCUUGACGGUAUCUUACCAGAAAGCCACGGCUAACUACGUGCCAGCAGCCGCGGUAAUACGUAGGUGGCAAGCGUUGUCCGGAUUUAUUGGGCGUAAAGGGGGCGCAGGCUGCUUCUUAAGUCUGAUGUGAAAGCCCACGGCUUAACCGUGGAAGUGCAUUGGAAACUGGGAAGCUUGAGUACAGAAGAGGAAAGUGGAAUUCCUAGUGUAGCGGUGAAAUGCGUAGAGAUUAGGAGGAACACCGGUGGCGAAAGCGGCUUUUUGGCCUGCAACUGACACUGAGGCGCGAAAGCGUGGGGAGCAAACAGG